rnacentral:lncRNA from 1 species
UUCUAUCGUGAGUUCCGACAAGAUGGAGGUUAUGGAUAACUCGUCAAACCAUACAUUAUGGAUAACUCGUCAAACUACACAUCUGUUAUAUGUUAUAUUCAAUUGACUUGAGUUCUUUGUGAAACUUUAUGGAAAUUCUUUUUCAUCAUUCAAACUAUCAUGGCCAUGGACUUCAGAACUCAGUGUCAUGAUCAACAUAGGAUUUUUUCUUAUUUACUAAGGUCGAUAGAUCCCAUCUAGGCGCACAUCUUAUUCCUUUAAUGAAUCUACUACAGCCAACAUACACCUCAAGAUUUCAUAUGGCUAGGAGAUCGAAUUAUAGUGCAGUCAAACUACAACAACCUCAUUGUGAAUAGUCGAGGCAUCGCAGGUCAAAGAACUAUUCAUACUAUUGUAGUAUCGAGUAUGUCACUGACGAGAACAUAGAUAUCCGAGUGGCUACUCGUGUUGGUUACAUUCGAUACUCUUGUUUUCUAACAAUCACCUUUACUCUCACUCCAAUAUCUCUACACUAGAUUUGAGAUCCGUCUAUCCUAAAGGGAUGCGAUCCGUGCACCAAUCUAUCCGGAUGAAUCACUGUCCCCGAAUGAUCCAACAUUUUUUCUUAUCUACUAAGGUCGAUAGAUCCCAUCUAGGCACACAUCUUAUUCCUAUAAUGAAUCUACUACAGCCAACAUACACCUCAAGAUUCCAUAUGGCUAGGAGAUCGAAUUAUAGUGCAGUCAAACUACAACAACCUCAUUGUGAAUAGUCGAGGCAUCGCAGGUCAAAGAACUAGUCAUACUAUUGUAGUAUCGAGUAUGUCACUGACGAGAACGUAGAUAUCCGAGUGGCUACUCGUGUUGGUCACGUUCGAUACUCUUGUUUUCUAACAAUCACCUUUACUCUCACUCCAAUAUCUCU